rnacentral:sRNA from 1 species
AAUCUAGGAUAUCGAUUGUGGUUCUUUCAAAGAACUAUGCUUCUUCGAGUUGGUGCUUGAAUGAAUUGGUGGAGAUUUUGAAAUGCAAAGACGUAGUGAUGCCGAUCUUCUAUGAAGUAGAUCCAUCCGAUGUACGGAAACAGACCGGAGAUUUUGGGAAGGCCUUCAAAAAUAGUUGUAAAAGUAAAACUAAGGAGGAGAGGCAGAGAUGGAUCCAAGCUUUAAUUUUUGUUGGCAACAUAGCUGGAGAACACUCGCUGAAAUGGUUUGUUUGUUUUCGAUCGACUAAUUUUGGGGCUUUCUU